rnacentral:tRNA from 1 species
GGUCCGGUAGUUCAGUUGGUUAGAAUGCCAGCCUGUCACGCUGGAGGUCGACGGUUCGAGCCCGGUCCGGAUCGCCA